AUCUCUGCCUACCUGAGGUCUUCUGAAGGAGUUGAACAUCAGGGAGGAGUUUGUACUAUCCUGCACUGAAAUCUUCCUACCAGGAAAUUUGAGCAAUGUGGCUUUGGGCCACAUUGUUUAGAGACAGACCAUUGAGGUCCAAAGGAAGGACCCAACUUGCUUCCUGUUGCUCUCACUUCAAUCUGCUAACAGUCUGGUCCUUCUAGGACCAGCUGGUCUAGAGAAUGAAGGCUCCUGCAGACUGAGGCUCCACGGUGGUGCUGGCAGAUGAGCUUCCAGUCCUCACCUACCACAAGACUUUUUUCUCAUCCCAGUGUUAGAAGUAUCUGUUUAUUGUAGCAAAACUGAGAAGUAUUGUAAAUAUUGCCAUCUUGGGACAUCAGAAAAUUAAACAAGUCCCACGGCAUGGUCUCAAACUGUGAACUGGAAUGUGCUGUGUGAAAUCGCAUAGUGGACUGCCAAAGCCAGCCAGCUCAGAGAUGGGUGCUACAUUGGUAUUUUAACAAGCACUUUGUAUUUACCUACUGAAGAUGCUGAAUUUGGAGCCACACUUUCUUUAGAGCAACAUCCAGAGUCAGCUCUCUCACAUAAAAUUGCCAGCAGGCAUACAGAACUUUACAAAACAGGUUUAAAACAGGGAAAAAAACUGGAGCCUGUAGUUCCAUGAAUUCUGGUAUAUGACUACGCAUGGUAGCAGAAAGCAGGUGCUGGGUCUGGAAUCCUCUUUGGGGCAGCUCAGUAGAGUAGACAAAACAUGUGCAUGGUGCCACAGGUCUUCCCAAAUCAUCAUCAGUUUCUGAUUAUUUAACGCUAGAUGUUCUCUGGAGAUCUCUAAUCCUACCUGUUCCCCAAAGCAGAGAUAAAUCUGAUUAGCUGGAAUCAGCUUCUUGAGAAAAGCUUUCAAAAUGAUGGAAUCAAAGCAUUCACAUAAAUUGCCAGCUACUUUAUUGCAAAUGUAACAGAGAUCUUCAAUGCUUUAUAUUAUCCUGUUCAACUAGAGGUCAUUUUUCCUAUCAAGUUAUUAGUUGCUUUUAGUUUUAUUUUUAUUUAAUCAAGGUCCCAACUUCCAUUAACAUUCAACACCUAGUCUGUCAAAGGCUAUCUGACAACUAGUCCGGUAAUUACCACCAGGUUUUAUUUGUUCAGCCCUGGCCCUUAACCCCGGUGGCCUCCUGUCACCAUCACCCCUCCUCACCUGUCUGUGCAAACCACUGCCCACUUCUGAGACUUAAAGCCUGGAAGGUUUGUAAUAUAAACUGAAAGUUGGCUUUGCAGAGGGCAUUUUUUGUCUUGCAGAUUUGGUGGCAUGCAUGUGCAGACACCAGUAAUUUGGGCUAUUAUCUUGCAAACUUACAUACAUAUCCAGUUAAGGUAAGUUCUGAAGAGUUGCAGACUUACAAGUCUUUUCAGAAUCCAGACCUUGAAUUUAGUGGCUUUGUUUUUAAGAUUUCAUAUGUAGAUACUCAGGCAUAUAAAUAUGCACAAGAACCACCCAGGCUUCCCAGAAGCUUUGCUUCCCAUUCACACCUCCUAAAAGUAGCUGCUGGCUCAAGGGCUUGUCUGUAAAUCUGACCUGAAGGAUGGUCAGGAGGAAAGAUGCCUGUUUCAAAUUCAGUUCCUUUUCACAGUGUUUUAAGCCUAUAACAACGGGGCAGAUCCAUGCUAGCGAAACCCACUGCAAGAUGAGGUAAGAGCAGCAUUUUGCCAUGGAGAAUCAUCACUCCUUUUUCAUCAGUGCUUUUGUUUAGAUGGCUUUAGAUCUCUGAUUUAAUAGCAUAUAGUUCAUAGUGUGAGUCUCGUGUUCUUGUUUAUUCCUGGCUGAAAUCAGCAUUGAGUCACUACCGAAAUUAUUUACUUUGCUCUUGUCAAUAGAAACUAAAGGUCAAAUAAUCAGAAUGGAUAUAAUUUAGUAUCUGCUUGUAUUUUUGCUGAGAAGUAUUAAUAAAAUCAUUUGUUUGGCCAAGAAAGCUCCAU
rnacentral:lncRNA from 1 species